CUGACUGACCGAUAGUGAACCAGUACCGUGAGGGAAAGGCGAAAAGAACCCCGGCGAGGGGAGUGAAAAAGAACCUGAAACCGUGUACGUACAAGCAGUGGGAGCACAGGUUUACCUGUGUGACUGCGUACCUUUUGUAUAAUGGGUCAGCGACUUAUAUUCUGUAGCAAGGUUAACCGUAUAGGGGAGCCGUAGGGAAACCGAGUCUUAACCGGGCGUUAAGUUGCAGGGUAUAGACCCGAAACCCGGUGAUCUAGCCAUGGGCAGGUUGAAGGUUGGGUAACACUAACUGGAGGACCGAACCGACUAAUGUUGAAAAAUUAGCGGAUGACCUGUGGCUGGGGGUGAAAGGCCAAUCAAACCGGGAGAUAGCUGGUUCUCCCCGAAAGCUAUUUAGGUAGCGCCUCGUGAAUUCAUCUCCGGGGGUAGAGCACUGUUUCGGCUAGGGGGCCAUCCCGGCUUACCAACCCGAUGCAAACUGCGAAUACCGGAGAAUGUUAUCACGGGAGACACACGGCGGGUGCUAACGUCCGUCGUGAAGAGGGAAACAACCCAGACCGCCAGCUAAGGUCCCAAAGUCAUGGUUAAGUGGGAAACGAUGUGGGAAGGCCCAGACAGCCAGGAUGUUGGCUUAGAAGCAGCCAUCAUUUAAAGAAAGCGUAAUAGCUCACUGGUCGAGUCGGCCUGCGCGGAAGAUGUAACGGGGCUAAACCAU
rnacentral:rRNA from 1 species